CCAGCUACGCUUUCACAGUGGGAAAGCUGAAGCCUGGCCACAGACUGCUGUCUGGCUCUGAGCUCUGAGCUGUCCCAGACAAUGAGACAGGUCAGAGCCAGCACCCUCCAUGGUUCCCUGCUGUGAGCAUUGUCUGGUUACAGGCCUGAAUGAGGGGCAAGUGGAGUGUCAGGACUGGAUUCAAGGCUUGUGGCAGCCAGCAAGUGAUCCUUAUCAAGACCCAAGAGUUCAGAGCUACAGUGGCCCCAUAGCACAAAGGAGAACAAAGGUUCUCAACAUCUUAGUCUGAGAGGCAUCAGUCAGAAAAGGGAUUCUGAUGCCUGGCAAUGGCUGAGGAAUGGAGCCGUAGGCAGUAAAAGGUUCAACCACCAGGAGUCGCUGCUGCACCGGAAGCCAGUCUUCGCUGCGCCUGCGCGGACGCGGGCACGCGGCGUUCUCCAGCCCGGCGAGUGCGCGCCCUCCACACCAAGUGCGCCUGCGCGGAGCCUGUAGUAUUUUCCCCCUUCUCGCGCCGGGCGCUCGUCAAUCGCCGGCGGCCAUGGGGGAGGCCGAGGUGGGCGGCACGGGCGCCCCAGGCGACAAGGGCCCAGGCGAGGCAGCCCCGAGCCCUGCUGAGGAGACGGUGGUGUGGAGCCCUGAGGUGGAAGUGUGCCUCUUCCACGCCAUGCUGGGCCACAAGCCUGUCGGGGUGAAUCGGCACUUCCACAUGAUUUGUAUCCGAGACAAGUUCAGCCAGAAUAUUGGGCGCCAGGUUCCAUCCAAGGUGAUCUGGGACCAUCUGAGCACUAUGUACGACAUGCAGGCACUGCACGAGUCUGAGAUUCUUCCAUUCCCAAAUCCAGAGAGGAACUUUGUCCUUCCAGAUGAGAUCAUUCAGGAAGUCCGAGAAGGUGAGACUCGGCCACCACCAGGGCUGGGAAUAAAAAAAGCCUCACCAGGCCAAAGGUGGGGCGGUCUGGGGCCUCCAGGGAGGUGUAAGGAUCCUGCUCAGACCAUACCUCCAGUGGCACCUGGGAGGUUUUGGGAGCCAAGGGCUGGGGAGAGCGGUGCUCAAAGGCAGUCUCCUGAUGGAUGCCGUCUCGUGAUGGACGCCGAGGCCUGUGUGGGCAGCGAGAAUCGGAAGCAGUCAUGGCCAGACCGUCCCCCAGCGCUGGCCACCACCGUGGGUUUCCAGUGAACGGCAGCUGUCUCCUCCACAGGAAAAGUGGUCAUUGAAGAAGAAAUGAAGGAGGAGAUGAAGGAGGAUGUGGACCCCCACAGUGGGGCUGAUGAUGUUUUUUCAUCUUCAGGGAGCUUGGGGAAAGCAUUAGAAAAAUCCAGCAAAGACAAAGAGAAGAACUCCUCAGACUUGGGGUGCAAAGAAGGGGCAGACAAGCGGAAGCGCAGCCGGGUCACUGACAAGGUCCUGACUGCCAACAGCAAUCCCUCCAGCCCCAGUGCUGCCAAGAGGCGCCGCACAUAGACACCUCAUCCUCAGGUGGCCACAGAGAUGCUCCAACUGCCUGUCUCCAGGUCCCUGGGUGAAUGUGGCCAUCCAGCAGAGAUGCUAGUGGGGCUUCCGCUGUGUCAUCAGACCUCCAGAGCACCUGAUUGGCCCAAAAGACCAGCAAGACCCUUGUCUACUCUGCAGAUGGUGAAGCCUUUGAGGCAGCCUCUUGCUUUCUCCUGUGGGUCCCUUGUGCCCACAGUGUGUAGAGAAGAGCAGGUGCAUGGGGCCAGGGGACCAAGAGUCAGCAAGCAAUAAGACGCCACCCUCACUGUCCUCAGGAGCCAGGCAUCCUCCCUGGGUGCCCACUCUUUGCAUCUGCUUUUCCUGUAAGACUCCACUGUGCACUGGCAUCCAGAGAAGGUGUCUUUGGAGUUCACACAGCACACACUGUGCACAGAAGGCCUCCCCAUCUGGGAAAUAGAACUGGAUAUUUUGCCUCAUUCACUUGUACUGUAAUAGUGUAUAUAACUUAGUUGGUAUUUCACUAUUUAAUUUUUAAGAAGCCUAUUUUACUAGUGUUUUGUAUGAAGAAAAAUACUGCAGAAGUUAAACCUGUGAUGUGUUUUUUUGAGCUGUUUUGUUUUAAGGUAACUACUGAAAUAAGUCUGGCUGUUUUUAUAUGCCAGAUACAGAGAAUUUUUAGCGGUUAUUUUUGUAAUUUUAGUAACUUGGAAAAGACCAAAAAAGGGAGUGGAACAAAGGAACCGCCAUUAGACUGAAAAAACAAUGGCCUGAUGGUUGAAGUACAUUUUCAUUUGCAGAAUAUUAAAGCACUAAAAAAAAAAAAAA